rnacentral:lncRNA from 10 species
UUACUAUAUUACAUGCAUUACCUCGCUAAAUCACCACAUUAGAACACUUACAGGCCGACUGUGCUGCUUUGUCUGAAUCUAGAACAAAGGAUCGGCCCUUAAGGAGGCUGAUGCGAUGUUAAAGCCCAUCACUCUAAAAUUGACACCACACCUGGGAAGAGCAGGCAGCACCAUCACUGGCUUUCCUGUUCAAGAAUGACACCUGUCAAUCAGGUUUCUGACACAUCCAUCACUUGUUAUGUUUAGAAAGGGUGGACCAUCCAUGGCCUUCAUAUCAACGUAUGAAAACCAACAUACCCUCCAGCAAGCUCUACGGCUAUAUGACCCUUAUCCACAGCAAGUCCCUGGGGAAAAUUAUUCCUUAACAUGGUGUUGAAUGCUGACAAGGUAUAUCAGUCAGCUUUGGCUAGCAAAGUGAAGGCUCUGUACCUCUGCUCCACAUGUUUUCUGCAACCUGAGAUGCAGGUCUCAUGGUUCAGGGAGAAGAGCACUGUGAAUGAACCAUACAAAGUCUUUUAAAACUUCUGCACAC